GAUGAACGCUAGCGGCAGGCCUAAUACAUGCAAGUCGAACGAUAGAAGAGGGCUUGCGCUCUUCGAAAGUGGCGCACGGGUGCGUAACGCGUAUGCAACCUACCUUAAUCAGGGGGACAGCCCGAAGAAAUUCGUAUGAACACCGCAUAAAAUCACAGUACAGCAUUGUACACUGAUCAUAUAUUUAUAGGAUUAAGAUGGUCAUGCGUGACAUUAGCUAGUUGGCGGGGUAACGGCCCACCGAGGCGACGAUGUCUAGGGGAUCUGAGAGGAUGACCCCCCACACUGGUACUGAGACACGGACCAGACUCCUACGGGGGGCAGCAGUAAGAAAUAUUGGUCAAUGGAGGCAACUCUGAACCAGCCAUGCCGCGUGCAGGAAGACAGCCCUCUGGGUCGUAAACUGCUUUUAUUCGGGAAUAAACCUACUUACGUGUAAGUAGCUGAAUGUACCGAAGGAAUAAGGAUCGGCUAACUCCGUGCCAGCCGCCGCAGUAA
rnacentral:rRNA from 1 species